UGUGCAUUUAAUGCUGGUGUGCUUGCUCCGUCUUUCUACGGCUUGCAUCCUUCAUUAAAAAUACCAUUUAUUGAAAAAUCCACUUUUAUAGUACCAUUUGCAGCUAACAGUGCUUUUAGUGUUAGGAUCUGCUCCUGCUGCUGCUGAAAAAAAAAACCAGACAAUAUGAUGCAGAGAUCCAAUACAGAGCAAGAUGUCUUGCUGUAGUCUCUGAAAUGAUUGCUUUUUGUUUUUGUUUUUGAAUGGGUACAGUUGCUGGAGAACUCUGAUUUGUGUAUGUGUCUGAGUAUCACAAUGGGCUGUUUUUCUGCACUGCUCUCAGUACUAUAGCCUGAGAUACUGCAGCUGUUUUUAAGGUCAUUUCCUUUUAUUUUAAAUAAUUGUUCAUUUAACAUAUGUUGUUAAACUCAUUCUUGCGUCAAAAGGAGGCGAUUAUACUUCCUGACCCUGAAAGCAAGUGUCUUGGAUUUUCUUCUGAAAUCCUACAAAAUGACUGAUGAAGCAAAUAUGGAGUCCCAUCAUCUUAGACAGAAAGGAAAUGGAGGGUAAGCAAUUCAGUGACAGUUCAACCUAUGUGAUCCCCAGGUGAUGUUGGAAAUGCAGGAACAGGACUUUGAAAUGCCAUGACUGGAAAAGGCAUGGCUUCAGCGGAAUAACUCAAGACUGACCCUGAAGCAUGACCCUGGGACCUUCAGACAACCCCAUGCUCACCUAGGAUGAAUACCAACUGAGUAAAAGGCCUCUUAUCACCACUUCCAGUGUCACAGCAGCUUGCAUCAAGAUGCAGAGAGAUGAAGAACAGUGACAACACAACUGUUCACCCAUAACCUUGGGACAGCAGGUAAUGCAGAGCUAACAAAUUCAUGCACCAAAGAAUGGCAGGUUUUAUUCCCGAAAGGGAAAUAGCCAAUAAAGCCAAGGAGGAAGAAGGCUACACACACACCACCCAGUCCCCUCCCCGCCAGAUCUUCAGUCACAUUCUGUGUCUUCCAGGCCUGCAGUGAUGUCUGCCAUCUAUCCUCAGUGAGGUGCUGAAAAGUAAAGCUUUCAUAAAGAGCAUGGGGGAGGGAGGCUGCCAUAUCUCAGAAGAAGCCUUGAACAUCCACCAUUUCUUUCACUUGAGCCUCUCUUCACCCUGGCAUGCACUGUGGCUUCCAUCCCUUGAGCUGAGGAAGGCUGGAUGGCAUUCUCUUUGGAGCUCCUCCAUGCGGCUCCUGAUUCAGCCAGAGAGGUGCUUGUUGUUCAGUGAUGUGAUACUCCCUCCCCCAGGGGUUGAAUCACAUUGCCUCGUCAGCACUACCAACUCCUGCCACCCUGAGGAGCAAGAGACCACACUAGGAAUCAAUACUCAGAUUUUCCUCAGAAAUUUCCAAAAUGCAGACAUGUUCUUUUGACUUAUGAAGAUUUCUUCAGUAUGACAAAUAAGAAACCCACAGUGAUCUGUAUAUGUUUUCUUAUAAUCUUCAAAUAACCAUGUAUUUUAUUGUAUUGCCUAAUCUAAUAAACCAUUAUGUUUUGUAUGGAUAUUUUA